rnacentral:rRNA from 1 species
UGCGUAGGGUGCAAGCGUUGUCCGGAAUUAUUGGGCGUAAAGAGCUCGUAGGCGGUCUGUCGCGUCUGCUGUGAAAACUCAGGGCUUAACCCUGAGCUUGCAGUGGGUACGGGCAGACUAGAGUGCGGUAGGGGAGACUGGAAUUCCUGGUGUAGCGGUGAAAUGCGCAGAUAUCAGGAGGAACACCGGUGGCGAAGGCGGGUCUCUGGGCCGUAACUGACGCUGAGGAGCGAAAGCAUGGGGAGCGAACAGG